ACAGGAAAGAAAAUUAAGAUGAAAAUAAAGAAGACGAAGAAGGAUAAAGAGAGAGACCGGAAUCGCGCAGAGCUUCUCGAGUUUCUGAACUCUGCCUUAUGACGGAAGGAGCUGAGCAAGGACUUGCAGAUCCACCCAGCCAACAGUCAUCAUGCCUAGCAAAACCCUAACAGGAAGCUCAGGGAAAAGGGCCCCACGUUGGGCAAGACCAGACUCUCCUGCUCUGAAGACAAUCAGGAUGCCCCUUUUAAAGGCAGAAAGAAGAGAAACUGUUAACUUGUUAAUGAAGAUCCAUGUCCUCCUUUUGAGACCCUAAGGUAAUAGCCAGGCUGUGACAUUUUAAAAGAGCCUAAGAGUAUCAUUGACAGUGAUAAGAACGGACACUCUCCAGUCCAACAAUGUAAUUCGUACUCUAGCUGCAUGCAAAAUGCACUCAAUUUCAACUGUCUUAAUGUUUCUAGUAGCUUAAAUGGAAAAAAGCAUUUGUAAAUGUUUAUUUCAAAGAUGAGGCAUUUCCAUAGAUUUUUCUCUUUUAUUUGCAGUAGUGGUUUUACUUGUCCUGAAGAACAAGCUGACUUUUGUAAAUAGAACAUACUUUUACGCAAAUAAUUUCUUGAGAGUUCAUUCACUAAUACAUUAUUUUCUUUCAGAGUUUGAGAUACGAUCCUUCUCUGGACAGUUUGUUACUCUUUUUCACUAGAAAGUGUAACAGCAAAAUAUUUGGGAGUAAUAAAGGCAGCUGUAUGUUUUUAAUCUGCAA